UACGGGGGGGGCAAGCGUUGUUCGGAAUUACUGGGCGUAAAGGGCUCGUAGGCGGCCAACUAAGUCAGACGUGAAAUCCCUCGGCUUAACCGGGGAACUGCGUCUGAUACUGGAUGGCUAGAGGUUGGGAGAGGGAUGCGGAAUUCCAGGUGUAGCGGUGAAAUGCGUAGAUAUCUGGAGGAACACCGGUGGCGAAGGCGGGUCUCUGGGCCGUAACUGACGCUGAGGAGCGAAAGCAUGGGGAGCGAACAGG
rnacentral:rRNA from 1 species